rnacentral:rRNA from 1 species
AGCUUAUGACUUGGUGGAUUGAAUGUUCCUGAUCCCAUCAGAUCUCAGAAGUUAAGCAUAAUCAUGCCUACCCAGAAUUGAAUGGAAGACCUCCAGGGAAGCUCAGUUUAAGCUA